rnacentral:rRNA from 1 species
AUUGAACGCUGGCGGCAUGCCUUACACAUGCAAGUCGAACGGCAGCACGGGGCAACCUGGUGGCGAGUGGCGAACGGGUGAGUAAUGCAUCGGAACGUACCUUUCAGUGGGGGAUAACGUAGCGAAAGUUACGCUAAUACCGCAUAUUCUGUGAGCAGGAAAGCAGGGGAUCGCAAGACCUUGCGCUGAUUGAGCGGCCGAUGUCAGAUUAGCUAGUUGGUGAGGUAAAGGCUCACCAAGGCGACGAUCUGUAGCGGGUCUGAGAGGAUGAUCCGCCACAGUGGAACUGAGACACGGUCCAGACGCCUACGGGAGGCAGCAGUGGGGAAUUUUGGACUAUGGGGGCAGCCCUGAUGCAGCCAUGCCGCGUGAGUGAAGAAGGCCUGCGGGUUGUAAAGCUCUUACGGCCGGGAAGAAAUCGCACGGGCUAAUACCCUGUGUGGAUGACGGUACCGGAAUAAGAAGCACCGGCUAACUACGUGCCAGCCGCCGCCGUAAUAC